GUACUUGCUUUGGGAGUCCAUAUUCCAAAAUUGGGAUGAUACAGAGAAGAUUAGCUUGGCCCCUGUGCUAGGAUGACACAGAAGUUCACGUAGCCCUCCAUAUUUUU